UCUAAAAAAAGAGAGAAAAUUGAUGAGAAAAGCAAAAUUUCUGUGCUACUUUUGUUCUUCAUCUUCAAUUCCUCCUCGCACAAAUCAUACACUCUCAGAGUCUUACUUGGGUGUCGCCACUGCUGCUUUCCUACUAGCUGUGGUUCACCAGCCAUCGUCGUUGUUGCCUGUUGUCUCAGAAUUACACACUUCUUUUCUCAUACGGUGACCCACUCUCACUCGCUCGACUGUCGCUGCCACUGCUUGCCUAUCAUUUGUCAAUCAGCAAUUGCCAUCGCUGCUACCUUCGCACUCGCAUGCAAGCCACCAGAGCUCUGCUCAGCUUCUCUUCCUCCUAAAUCGUCAUUUCAAGUCCCACCAGAGCAAAAGGGCUGACGAACCAUCGGAGCUCAUUUGAGAUAAGCCUUCAAUAUUUCUUGAAGAAAAUGCAAAGCGGAACUGGGCCUUGGACAAGUUGCUCAAGAUUAGAAGCCACUCCUGAAUGAGUAGGCAUUCCUAGUCCUCUAGAGGUUUCUUCUAUCCCACUUGUAUCCACUACAGAUUCAUCUGCUCUAAUGAUGUUGGAUAGUUCUAUUUUUAUCAGCAAUGAUACAACAGCAAACCUUGGAGUUCCAGUGAUUGCUCUUGGCUCUGCAACCGCUUUUUUGCCUAUUGAAGGAGAACAAGUAGGUGCUAAUAUGCACAUGGGAGGAGAAUGAAGGUGAAGAAGGAUUUCGCAUCCCAAAAAAGAGUAAAACAUUCAAGACUCAGGAUGAUUUCAAGGAUGUUACAGCAAAUGGCUUGUACUAUGCCAUUUGUCCUUACUGCAGGAAAAAGCGUUCAAGGGGAAAGACCAUGCAAGCAACUACCAUGUUGAGACACUGGAUCACUUGUCCAGCUAGGAAAGCAAGUAUCAGAAAGGUGAAGCAGCAAAUCAAACUCAAUUUCUAGUUGAUUGAUGAAUGCUUUUCAACUUUACUACUAUUGAGCAACAAGUUUGACAUGGAGAAAAUGAGAGAGGGAGAUGCACAUUGGGUGUUAAUGCACGAGCAUCCCUUCUCCAUAUUAAAGGAAGAGGGUUUCCACAUUAUAAUGAAACAUGUGGCACUAGAGUGGAAGAAAAUCUCUCGGACAACAGUGAAAAAUGAUUGUAUGCAGGUUUAUGGAGUUCAAAAAAACAAGUUCAAGAAUAAGUUCAAGAAUGUGGAAAAGGCUAGAAAGCAACAUUACGAUUUUUGCCCAUCUCCUGAGGAUUAGAAAAAACGCAACAAAGGAAGUCAAACCAAUCAAAGAAAUUGACUUGCCAAAGUUCUAAAAUUUAUGCCACAUGGACCAAGUUUCAUAUUGUGAAUCUGCUUGGAGUUAAAUGGUUGGAGCUGCAAUUUUCAUUCCUGCUACUGCUGCUGCAGUAGAGUUAUGUUGCUGACCGCUGCUAUUCAUUUUUAUUGCUACUGCUGUUUCAAAUUUCUUCUGUUGUUGCAUCUCAUUUCUGCUCCUGCCUAUUGCUAGCUAUUCGUUUUUGCUGCUGUUCAUUUCUGCUGUUGCUGCUUUUGCUAUUCAAAACUUGAAGGUGGAAUCUAGAUUUGCGGUGUUGCUGCAUUUGGUUCAUUUCUAUUGCACUUUAAAGACAUCAAUAUUAAUUUUUAUGUAUUAAGUUUGGAUUUUGGAGCUUGUUUCUUUCAUUUGUAGUCUUGUACAUAUGCACUUGAUGGAA